AUUGAACGCUGGCGGAAUGCUUUACACAUGCAAGUCGAACGGCAGCACGGGGGCAACCCUGGUGGCGAGUGGCGAACGGGUGAGUAAUACAUCGGAACGUGCCCAGUCGUGGGGGAUAACGUAGCGAAAGUUACGCUAAUACCGCAUACGAUCUACGGAUGAAAGCGGGGGACCGUAAGGCCUCGCGCGAUUGGAGCGGCCGAUGUCAGAUUAGGUAGUUGGUGAGGUAAAGGCUCACCAAGCCGACGAUCUGUAGCUGGUCUGAGAGGACGACCAGCCAACCCGGGACUGAGACACGGCCCAGACUCCCACGGGAGGCAGCAGUGGGGAAUUUUGGACAAUGGGCGCAAGCCUGAUCCAGCCAUUCCGCGUGCAGGACGAAGGCCUUCGGGUUGUAAACUGCUUUUGUACGGAACGAAAAGGCUCUGGUUAAUACCUGGGGCUCAUGACGGUACCGUAAGAAUAAGCACCGGCUAACUACGUGCCAGCCGCCGCGGUAA
rnacentral:rRNA from 1 species